CGGCCGGAGCUGACCCAGUGGGCCACGGGCUCCGGACUCCAGAACUUUCCAAGCGGGGGCAACUUGGCGGCGGUAAUUUUUAUUUCUGUUUGCAGAUUGUUCCUGCCUGAUUCAUAAGCAUCGUGAUUGGCUUUUGAUUGCUGUCACGUCUAAUGUGGCUGCUGCCUCGUGUCACAUCUGAAACUCAUCUGUACCUCACUUAGAAAGGUAAAUACGUCUAUGCGGAACCCUCCAACUCCUGCCCCCCAGCGCUCCUGCCAUCAGUCAUGGCUCUGUAUUCUUAUUCUCUCCUCGCAUUACAGCACAAACCAGAGCCUUCGCCUCCUCCACAGUAGAGGGGCUUAUGUCCCAGAAAAGACUUUGUGAGAGAAUUUACAUUUGAGGAACUUCAGGCCUUGAGGGGGAAAAUAAAGUUGGGGGAUUAAGAUGUGGACUUAAUGAAAGCCUGUUUUUCACUCUAAAAAUUCAAGAGGACACACUAAGAACGAUCAUUGCUAUUUAUCUG
rnacentral:sRNA from 1 species